AGUGAACGCUGGCGGUAGGCCUAACACAUGCGAGUCGAACGGCAGCACAGUAAGAGCUUGCUCUUACGGGUGGCGAGUGGCGGACGGGUGAGGAAUACAUCGGAAUCUACUUUUUCGUGGGGGAUAACGUAGGGAAACUUACGCUAAUACCGCAUACGACCUUCGGGUGAAAGCAGGGGAUCUUCGGACCUUGCGCGAUUGAAUGAGCCGAUGUCGGAUUAGCUAGUUGGCGGGGUAAAGGCCCACCAAGGCGACGAUCCGUAGCUGGUCUGAGAGGAUGAUCAGCCACACUGGAACUGAGACACGGUCCAGACUCCUACGGGAGGCAGCAGUGGGGAAUAUUGGACAAUGGGCGCAAGCCUGAUCCAGCCAUACCGCGUGGGUGAAGAAGGCCUUCGGGUUGUAAAGCCCUUUUGUUGGGAAAGAAAAGCAGCAGGUUAAUACCCCGCUGUUCUGACGGUACCCAAAGAAUAAGCACCGGCUAACUUCGUG
rnacentral:rRNA from 1 species